rnacentral:sRNA from 1 species
AUCACCCAAUUCAACGACUGUCUGCAGUGACGAUGAUCGUCGCGCUUUCGCUUGUCGUGGGUGAACGAGGGCGCUCCCCAUGACGGGUUGAGCGCCCUCGGCUUG